rnacentral:rRNA from 1 species
CUCUUUCUCGAUUCAGUGGAUGGUGGUGCAUGGCCGUUCUUAGUUGGUGGAGUGAUCUGUCUGGUUAAUUCCGAUAACGAACGAGACUCUCCCCUGCUAACUAGUCGGUUGGAUCUUGAUCAGUGGGUUGAGUGCCGAGUAACUCUCGCUGUGCGUGUUGUGCGUCGCGUUCCUCACGGUUCGUUGCGUGCUCAUGUGUGGCGUUGGAUGCCUUGGAUCACACUGCACCCCAAGUCCGCCGCUUUGCUAUAACUCUUCUUAGAGGGAUUCACGGCACUGAAGCCGUAAGAGACUGAGAGCAAUAACAGGUCUGUGAUGCCCUUAGAUGCUCUGGGCCGCACGCGCGCUACAAUGCCGGGCACAGCAGGUGUUUCUCCUGCUCCGACAGGAGCGGGUAACCCUCUGAAAGCCAGUGUUCUUGCAAGUGCUUCCUCCCUCGUGGAGUUGCACAGAGGCGUGCUUGGGCCUGGGACUUGCAAUUCUUUCCCACCAACGAGGAAUGCCUAGUAGCGGCGGGUCACUGAGCCCGCUGUGACUCAGUCCCUGCCCUUUGUACACACCGCCCGUCGCUACUACCGAUUGGGUGUACCAGUGAGAGCCUUGGACUGGCGUCCGUUGUUGCUCGC